GAGUUGGAGGCCAGUGGAGCAUUCCAUCUACUCCCCUCCCCCUCUCUAUAUUCACUGAGGACAUUCCUCCCUUCACCUGCCCCUCUGCUCAGCAGUCCAAUGGAAGUACUUCAUCUCUUUUGGGGGUAAGCCCUCAUUUAGCCUGGGUGGUUUUUUCCUCGUCUCUUACUCAAAUGGAUUCGACUUCCUCUUCUCGACCUGAGAAUGAAUGGAGGAUAUACACGUUGCCCGUCCCCCUUCAGAACUUUGCCCCGUCGGGAAGGUCUCCAAUUUGCCGCAUCUUUCAAAUGUUAGGAUGCUGUGCACCGCCAGGGAGAUGAGGAUCCGGAACCCUAGGAUUUCCUCAGGGUUACAAUCACAGCUUUGGAUCACUGAACCCAGAAUCAGAAGAUCUAAUGUGUUCAAAAAUCAUUUGAUGUUGAUAAUGAAAGGAAGGAAGGAAGGAAGGAAGAAAAGAAAAGGAAGCAAAGAAAAUGCCCAUCAAUUUGGAAAUGGCUAUGCAAAUUGUGGUACAUGA
rnacentral:lncRNA from 1 species